ensembl:snRNA U7 U7 small nuclear RNA
GAGUAUUAUAGCCCUUUGAGAAUUUGUCUGGCAGGCUUUCCUGUCUUUACCAGAAGACCCCA